rfam:Schistosoma mansoni strain Puerto Rico chromosome 4, complete genome
GCACUGCCGAGGAGUCUCAAUAUAGGACGAAACGGCCGUCCUGUGC